AAAAAGCUUUUAAGGGCAAAUGGUGGAUGCCUUGGGUGAUAGAGGCGAUGAAGGACGUACUAGACUGCGAUAAGCUAGGUGGAGCUGUCAAGAAGCUUUGAUACCUAGAUUUCCGAAUGGGGCAACCCAAUACAUAGAGAUAUGUAUUACCUGUAAUAGGAGCGAACCUAGCGAAGUGAAACAUCUCAGUAGCUAGAGGAAAAGAAAUCAAACGAGAUUCUCUUAGUAGCGGCGAGCGAACGGGGAAAAGGGCAAACCAGUAGCUUGCUACUGGGGUUGAGGACUGCAAUAUCCACUGCAAUCUUUUAGCAGAAUAUUCUGGAAAGGAUAAUCAUAGAGGGUGAUAGUCCCGUAUGCAAAAAGAGAUUGUUAGGUAGCAGUAUCCAGAGUAGGUCAGGACACGUGAAAUCCGGGCUGAAGCAGGGGAGACCACUCUCCAACCCUAAAUACUCCUAUCACACCGAUAGCGAACAAGUACCGUGAGGGAAAGGUGAAAAGAACCGCAGUGAGCGGAGUGAAAUAGAACCUGAAACCAUUUGCCUACAAUCAUUCAGAGCCCUAUGAUUUAUCAGGGUGAUGGACUGCCUUUUGCAUAAUGAUCCUGCGAGUUGUGGUAUCUGGCAAGGUUAAGCACACGUGAAGCCGUAGCGAAAGCGAGUCUUAAUAGGGCGUUUAGUCAGAUGCUGCAGACCCGAAGCCAAGUGAUCUAUCCAUGGCCAAGUUGAAGUAAGUGUAAUAGCUUAUGGAGGACUGAACUCGUACCCAUUGAAACGGGUUGGGAUGAGCUGUGGAUAGGGGUGAAAGGCCAAACAAACUUGGUGAUAGCUGGUUCUCUUCGAAAUAUAUUUAGGUAUAGCCUCAAGUGAUAGUAAUAGGGGGUAGAGCUCUGAUUGGGCUAGGGCUGCUCACCGCGGUACCAACCCCUGUCAAACUACGAAUACCUAUUACCGUAUCUUGGGAGUCAGGCGGUGGGUGAUAAAAUCAAUCGUCAAGAGGGAAACAACCCAGACUACCAACUAAGGUCCCAAAGUUCUAUUCUAAGUGGAAAAUGAUGUGAAGUUACUUAGACAACCAGGAGGUUGGCUUAGAAGCAGCCAUCCUUUAAAGAAAGCGUAACAGCUCACUGGUCUAGUGAUUUUGCGCAGAAAAUAUAACGGGGCUAAGAUAGACACCGAAGUUGUAGAUUGUGCUGAUGCACAGUGGUAGAAGAGCGUUCGUAUCAGCGUUGAAGGCAUACCGGUAAGGAGUGCUGGAGCGAUGCGAAGUGAGCAUGCAGGAAUGAGUAGCGAUAAAAGUGGUGAGAAUCCACUUCGCCGAAAGUCUAAGGUUUCCUACGCGAUGCUCGUCAUCGUAGGGUUAGUCGGGUCCUAAGACAAGUCCGAAAGGGGUAGUCGAUGGAAAAUGGGUUAAUAUUCCCAUACCAACAUUAGUGUGCGAUGGGGGGACGCAUAGGGCUAAAUGGCGUUAGCUGAUGGAAAUGCUAACUUAAAAGUGUAGAUUGGAGGAUUGGCAAAUCCGCCUCUGUAUUUGAAACUUGAAUAGCUUCAAGCGAGCUUCGGCUUAAUUGGAGUGCCAUUGAUGCCGUCGUGCCAAGAAAAGCCUCUAAGUUUAGCUAAUGUUGCCCGUACCGCAAACCGACACAGGUAGAUGAGAUGAGUAUUCUAAGGCGCGUGAAAGAACUCUGGUUAAGGAACUCUGCAAACUAGCACCGUAAGUUCGCGAUAAGGUGUGCCCAAAGUCUAGCAAUAGAUGAGUAGGUCUCAGCAAAGAGUCCCUCCCGACUGUUUACCAAAAACACAGCACUUUGCAAACUCGUAAGAGGAAGUAUAAGGUGUGACGCCUGCCCGGUGCUCGAAGGUUAAGAGGAUUAGUUAGCAGCAAUGCGAAGCUCUGAAUUGAAGCCCGAGUAAACGGCGGCCGUAACUAUAACGGUCCUAAGGUAGCGAAAUUCCUUGUCGGUUAAAUACCGACCUGCAUGAAUGGCGUAACGAGAUGGGAGCUGUCUCAACCAGGGAUUCAGUGAAAUUGUAGUGGAGGUGAAAAUUCCUCCUACCCGCGGCAAGACGGAAAGACCCCGUGGACCUUUACUACAGCUUGGCACUGCCGAUGGGAGCAUUAUGCGCAGGAUAGGUGGGAGGCUUUGAAAUCUCCACUCUGGUGGAGAUGGAGCCAUCGUUGAGAUACCACCCUUAAUGUUUCUGUCUGCUAACUAGCUUGAGUUAUCCUCAAGUAGGACAAUGCCUGGUGGGUAGUUUGACUGGGGCGGUCGCCUCCUAAAAAGUAACGGAGGCUUGCAAAGGUUGGCUCAUUGCGGUUGGAAAUCGCAAGAAGAGUGUAAUGGCAUAAGCCAGCCUGACUGUAAGACAAACAAGUCGAGCAGAGACGAAAGUCGGUCAUAGUGAUCCGGUGAUUCUGUGUGGAAGGGUCAUCGCUCAAAGGAUAAAAGGUACCCCGGGGAUAACAGGCUGAUCUCCCCCAAGAGCUCACAUCGACGGGGAGGUUUGGCACCUCGAUGUCGGCUCAUCGCAUCCUGGGGCUGGAGCAGGUCCCAAGGGUAUGGCUGUUCGCCAUUUAAAGCGGUACGCGAGCUGGGUUCAGAACGUCGUGAGACAGUUCGGUCCCUAUCUGCCGUGGGCGUAGGAAAGUUGAGGAGAGCUGUCCCUAGUACGAGAGGACCGGGAUGGACACGCCACUGGUGUACCAGUUGUUCUGCCAAGAGCAUCGCUGGGUAGCUACGCGUGGAUGUGAUAACCGCUGAAAGCAUCUAAGCGGGAAGCCAACUCCAAGAUGAACUUUCCCUGAAGGUCGCAGCAAGACUAGCUGCUUGAUAGGGUAGAUGUGUAAGCAUAGUAAUGUGUUUAGCUGACUACUACUAAUAGACCGUUUGGCUUUUUUCUAA
rnacentral:rRNA from 1 species